rnacentral:rRNA from 1 species
GAGUGGGGGAUAACGUCCCGAAAGGGACGCUAAUACCGCAUGAUAUCCUGCUCUUGGAUGAGUGGAGAUCAAAGCUGGGGAUCGCAAGACCUGGCGCUUGAAGAGGGGCCCGCGCCUGAUUAGCUAGUUGGUGGGGUAACGGCCUACCAAGGCUACGAUCAGUAUCCGGCCUGAGAGGGCGGACGGACACACUGGGACUGAGACACGGCCCAGACUCCUACGGGAGGCAGCAGUGGGGAAUUGUUCGCAAUGGGCGAAAGCCUGACGACGCAACGCCGCGUGGAGGACGAAGAUCUUCGGGUCGUAAACUCCUGUCGAGUGGGAAGAAUGGAUCGGGGAUGAAUAUGUCCCGGUAUUGACGGUACCACUAAAGGAAGCCCCGGCUAACUCCGUGCCAGCAGCCGCGGUAAAACGGGGGGGGCAAGCGUUGUUCGGAAUUACUGGGCGUAAAGGGCUCGUAGGCGGCCAACUAAGUCGGACGUGAAAUCCCCAGGCUCAACCUGGGAACUGCGUCCGAUACUGGAUGGCUUGAAUUCGGGAGAGGGAUGCANAAUUCCAGGUGUAGCGGUGAAAUGCGUA